rnacentral:rRNA from 1 species
GAUGAACGCUGGCGGCGUGCCUAAUACAUGCAAGUCGAACGGAAAGACGAGAAGCUUGUUCCUCUGACGUUAGCGGAGGGCGGGAGAGUAACACGUGGAUAACCUACUUCUCUUACUGGGAUAACUUCGGAAAACCGGAGAUAAUAGCGGAGAAUAUAUUGAACCGCAUGGUGCAAUAGUGAAAGACGGUUUUGGGGUGACUUAUAGGCGGAUCCGCGCCGCAUUGGCGAGUUGGUAAGGUAACGGCUUACCAAGGCGACGAUGCGGGGGCGACCUGAGAGGGUGAUCGGCCACACUGGAACUUAGACACGGUCCAGACUCCUACGGCAGGCAGCAGUGGGGAACGGUCCGCAAUGGGCGAAAGCUUGACGGAGCAACGCCGCGUGAGUGAUGAAGGCCUUCGGAUCGUAAAGCCCUGUUAUUGGGGAAGAACAAAUGUGUACGUAACCGUGGACGUCUUGACGGUACCUAAAGAAAAAGCCCCGGCUAACUACGUG